UACGAAGGGUGCAAGCGUUACUCGGAAUUACUGGGCGUAAAGCGUGCGUAGGUGGUUCGUUAAGUCUGAUGUGAAAGCCCUGGGCUCAACCUGGGAAUGGCAUUGGAAACUGGCGACCUAGAGUGCGGUAGAGGGCAGUGGAAUUCCCGGUGUAGCAGUGAAAUGCGUAGAGAUCGGGAGGAACAUCUGUGGCGAAGGCGACUGCCUGGACCAGCACUGACACUGAGGCACGAAAGCCAGGGGAGCGAACGGG
rnacentral:rRNA from 1 species